AUGCUCUGUGAUCUCUCUUCUGACCACCACGAGGCCACCGGAUCCAGCUCCCACGGCGGAGACCUCGGCUUCAGCAGCCAUGUCCUGCUCAGCCCUCUCUUCGCGCCGGCGGCGACGCCGACGCCGCUGCUACCGAGGCCGGCACCGCCGCUGCUGGGGUUGGAGGAGCCCGCCAGGGCCAAGAGGAAGAGGAGCCAGCCCGGCAACCCAGACCCUGGCGCGGAGGUGAUCGCGCUGUCGCCGCGGACGCUGGUGGCGACGAACCGCUUCGUGUGCGAGAUCUGCAACAAGGGCUUCCAGCGGGACCAGAACCUGCAGCUGCACCGCCGCGGCCACAACCUGCCGUGGAAGCUCCGGCAGCGCACAGUGCUGCUGCCCAGGCCCGGCGGCGACGGCUCCGGCGCGCCGCGCAAGCGCGUGUACGUCUGCCCCGAGCCCACCUGCGUCCACCACGACCCGGCCCGGGCGCUGGGCGACCUCACCGGCAUCAAGAAGCACUUCUCCCGGAAGCACGGCGAGAAGCGGUGGAAGUGCGAGCGGUGCGCCAAGCGCUACGCCGUGCACUCGGACUGGAAGGCGCACGUCAAGAACUGCGGCACCCGCGAGUACCGCUGCGACUGCGGCAUCCUCUUCUCCAGGAAGGACAGCCUGCUGACCCACAGGGCCUUCUGCGACGCCCUAGCCGAAGAGAGUGCAAGGCUCAUCGCAGCUGCGAACAACAGCAUCACCACUACCACCGCCUGCAACAACAACAGCGGCGGCAGCAGCAACGACAUCAGCAAUAUGCUCAUGCCAAGCAACAGCUCGCCACUCUUUCUCCCUUUCUCAAGCCCUCCUCACGCUCAAAACCCUAACCCCCUCAUGUUUCUCUCCCAAGAACCUCACCACCACCAGGUGCUCCCUCCGUUCCAGCCCCUGACAUACCUUGAUGACCUCCCUAUGACCACCGGCAGCGGUUCGACCGUCAGCGCCGACACGGUCAGCUUCCGGCUCACCCCAGAAGGUUCGGUGACCAUGCACGCCGGUGGCCGCCACCUCACCAGGGACUUCCUAGGCGUCGACAACGCCGGGGAGGUCGAGGAGCUGCAGAUGCCGGUGCCACUGUGCGCCGCCGCGUACCAGGGACGCUCCAUCGGCCCCACCACCGCCUGCUGCGCCACCGACCUGACCAGGCAGUACCUCGGCCGGCUGCCGCCGGUGAACGAGCCGUGGAGCCACAACUUCUAG
rnacentral:rRNA from 1 species